rnacentral:lncRNA from 1 species
AUUUGAAAUUUUUUGCUGUUGACAGGUUUCCAUGUUGUCUGCUGUUGGAAGAACAUCUAUGAGGGACUGUGAAUAGAAUCUUUAUCUUCUGCUUAUAUACAACACUUACUCAUGGGCCAGUGGCACAAUUUCUAGCUGUACAAGGAUAUCAUGGUGUUUGAUAAGUUGAUGACAAUGAAACUAAUGACCAUGUUAACAUCAGAGGAAAAGCAAACUGGGAGAAGUAAGGACAACAUUGUUUUCGAUCUUGAAGGCCUGCGUAGACAUAGGACCAGGAAGGGGAGCUAGGAGUGGGAGAAGUGCCUGUGACUGAUAUAUGCACUAUCAGAUAGAAAUCCAGUUCAAAAGGAAAUCUGAAAUAGUGAAAUAG